rnacentral:rRNA from 1 species
CCUACGGGAGGCAGCAGUGGGGGAUAUUGGACAAUGGGGGGAACCCUGAUCCAGCGACGCCGCGUGAGUGAAGAAGUAUUUCGGUAUGUAAAGCUCUAUCAGCAGGGAAGAAAAGAAUGACGGUACCUGAAUACGACGCCCCGCCUAACUACGUGCCAGCGGCCGCUGUAAUACGUAGGGGGCAGUCGUUAUCCGGAUUUACUGGGUGUAAAGGGGGCGAAGACGGAAAUGCAAGCCUGGAGUGAAAGGCGGGGGCCCACCCCCCGGACUGCGCUGGGAACUGUAUAGCUAGAGUGCAGGAGAGGCAAGUGGAAUUCCUAGUGUAGCGGUGAAAUGCGUAGAUAUUAGGAGGAACACCAGUGGCGAAGGCGGCUUGCUGGACUGUAACUGACGUUGAGGCUCGAAAGCGUGGGGAGCAAACAGGAUUAGAUACCCCUGUAGUC